UCUUCUGACCAAAUCUGCGUCUCUACAGAGUUACCACAAUAACUACUACUGUUUUCACAUUAAUAGCGGCCAAACACAGCAUGGCUGCAAUAGAAGCACCAAUCUUGAACACAAACAGAUUCUACUCAUCCAUAGCCACUGCAAUACUACUUCUACUUUGUUUUAAGAAGCAAGCUCAGAAAUUUAAACUAGACCUGAAUCAACUAAGUAGCUUCGGUAAGGUAAGUUUCCAUCAGAUAGACCAGUAACAGAACAAAGCUUUAAGAGCACACUUCUAGUUUGCUUAUGGUAAAUCGAGAAUAAACCUGGUGGCUCCGAGGCCAAUGUUG